rnacentral:rRNA from 1 species
GAAUUCACUAGUGAUUCAGGCCUAACACAUGCAAGUCGAGCGGGGUUUUCGGACCUAGAAAAGAACGGGUGAGUAAUGCGUAGGAAGCUACCCGAUAGAGGGGGAUACCAGUUGGAAACGACUGUUAAUACCGCAUAAUGUCUACGGACCAAAGUGUGGGACCUUCGGGCCACAUGCUAUCGGAUGCGCCUACGUGGGAUUAGCUAGUUGGUGAGGUAAUGGCUCACCAAGGCGACGAUCCCUAGCUGGUUUGAGAGGAUAAUCAGCCACACUGGAUUUGGGGCACGGUCCAGACUCCUACGGGAGGCAGCAGUGGGGAAUAUUGGACAAUGGCGCAAGCCUGAUCCAUUUAGAGGGGGUGUGUGAAGAAGGCCUUCGGG